UACGUAGGGGGCAAGCGUUGUCCGGAAUCAUUGGGCGUAAAGCGCGUGUAGGCGGCCCGGUAAGUCCGCUGUGAAAGUCGGGGGCUCAACCCUCGAAAGCCGGUGGAUACUGUCGGGCUCGAGUGCGGAAGAGGCGAGUGGAAUUCCUGGUGUAGCGGUGGAAUGCGCAGAUAUCAGGAGGAACACCAAUAGCGAAGGCAACUCGCUGGGACGUUACUGACACUGAGGCGCGAAAGCGUGGGGAGCGAACAGG
rnacentral:rRNA from 1 species